GGUUAAGCGAAUAAGCGUACACGGUGGAUGCCUAGGCAGUCAGAGGCGAUGAAGGACGUGCUAAUCUGCGAUAAGCGCCGGUAAGGUGAUAUGAACCGUUAUAACCGGCGAUUUCCGAAUGGGGAAACCCAGUGCAAUUCGUUGCACUAUCAUUACCUGAAUACAUAGGGUAAUGAAGCGAACCGGGAGAACUGAAACAUCUAAGUACCCCGAGGAAAAGAAAUCAAACGAGAUUCCCCCAGUAGCGGCGAGCGAACGGGGAGCAGCCCAGGACCUUAAUCAGCAUCAGUGUUAAGAGAACAGUCUGGAAAGGCUGGCCACAGCAGGUGAUAGCCCUGUAUCUGAAAGCACUGGUGUUGUGAGUCCGAUGAGUAAGGCGGGACACGUGUUAUCCUGUCUGAAUACGGGGGGACCAUCCUCCAAGGCUAAAUACUCCUGACUGACCGAUAGUGAACCAGUACCGUGAGGGAAAGGCGAAAAGAACCCCGGCGAGGGGAGUGAAAAAGAACCUGAAACCGUGUACGUACAAGCAGUGGGAGCACCCUUCGGGUGUGACUGCGUACCUUUUGUAUAAUGGGUCAGCGACUUAUAUUCUGUAGCAAGGUUAACCGAAUAGGGGAGCCGCAGGGAAACCGAGUCUUAACUGGGCGAAUUAGUUGCAGGGUAUAGACCCGAAACCCGGUGAUCUAGCCAUGGGCAGGUUGAAGGUUGGGUAACACUAACUGGAGGACCGAACCGACUAAUGUUGAAAAAUUAGCGGAUGACUUGUGGCUGGGGGUGAAAGGCCAAUCAAACCGGGAGAUAGCUGGUUCUCCCCGAAAGCUAUUUAGGUAGCGCCUCGUGAAUUCAUCUCCGGGGGUAGAGCACUGUUUCGGCUAGGGGGUCAUCCCGACUUACCAACCCGAUGCAAACUGCGAAUACCGGAGAAUGUUAUCACGGGAGACACACGGCGGGUGCUAACGUUCGUCGUGAAGAGGGAAACAACCCAGACCGCCGGCUAAGGUCCCAAAGUCAUAAUUAAGUGGGAAACGAAGUGGGAAGGCUCAGACAGCCAGGAUGUUGGCUUAGAAGCAGCCAUCAUUUAAAGAAAGCGUAAUAGCUCACUGGUCGAGUCGGCCUGCGCGGAAGAUGUAACGGGGCUAAAUUAUGCACCGAAGCCGCGGCAGCGAUAUGUAAAUAUUGUUGGGUAGGGGAGCGUUCUGUAAGCCUGUGAAGGUGUGCUGUGAGGCAUGCUGGAGGUAUCAGAAGUGCGAAUGCUGACAUAAGUAACGAUAAUGCGGGUGAAAAACCCGCACGCCGGAAGACCAAGGGUUCCUGUCCAACGUUAAUCGGGGCAGGGUGAGUCGACCCCUAAGGCGAGGCUGAAAAGCGUAGUCGAUGGGCAACGGGUUAAUAUUCCCGUACUGGUGGUAACUGCGAAGGGGGGACGGAGAAAGCUAAAUCAUCCGGGCGACGGUUGUCCCGGUUUAAGCGUGCAGGUGGACUGACUAGGCAAAUCCGGUCGGUUGUUAACACUGAGGCGUGACGACGAGCCACUACGGUGGUGAAGUGAUUGAUGCUCUGCUUCCGGGAAAAGCCUCUAAGCUCCAGGUUACCAUUAAUCGUACCCCAAACCGACACAGGUGGUCAGGUAGAGAAUACUCAGGCGCUUGAGAGAACUCGGGUGAAGGAACUAGGCAAAAUGGUGCCGUAACUUCGGGAGAAGGCACGCUGGCAUUAGGUGAAGUGGUUUACCCACGGAGCUGAAGCCAGCCGCAGAUACCAGCUGGCUGCAACUGUUUAUUAAAAACACAGCACUGUGCAAACACGAAAGUGGACGUAUACGGUGUGACGCCUGCCCGGUGCCGGAAGGUUAAUUGAUGAGGUUAGCGUAAGCGAAGCUUCUGAUCGAAGCCCCGGUAAACGGCGGCCGUAACUAUAACGGUCCUAAGGUAGCGAAAUUCCUUGUCGGGUAAGUUCCGACCUGCACGAAUGGCGUAAUGAUGGCCAGGCUGUCUCCACCCGAGACUCAGUGAAAUUGAACUCGCUGUGAAGAUGCAGUGUACCCGCGGCAAGACGGAAAGACCCCGUGAACCUUUACUAUAGCUUGACACUGAACAUUGAGCCUUGAUGUGUAGGAUAGGUGGGAGGCAAUGAAGUGUGGACGCCAGUCUGCACGGAGCCAUCCUUGAAAUACCACCCUUUAACGUUUGAUGUUCUAACCCGGGUCCAUAAUCUGGAUCGGGGACCGUGUCUGGUGGGUAGUUUGACUGGGGCGGUCUCCUCCCAAAGAGUAACGGAGGAGCACAAAGGUUGGCUAAGCAUGGUCGGACAUCAUGCGGUUAGUGCAAAGGCAUAAGCCAGCUUGACUGCGAGAGUGACGGCUCGAGCAGGUACGAAAGUAGGUCUUAGUGAUCCGGUGGUUCUGAAUGGAAGGGCCAUCGCUCAACGGAUAAAAGGUACUCCGGGGAUAACAGGCUGAUACCGCCCAAGAGUUCAUAUCGACGGCGGUGUUUGGCACCUCGAUGUCGGCUCAUCACAUCCUGGGGCUGAAGUAGGUCCCAAGGGUAUGGCUGUUCGCCAUUUAAAGUGGUACGCGAGCUGGGUUUAGAACGUCGUGAGACAGUUCGGUCCCUAUCUGCCGUGGGCGCUGGAAGAUUGAGAGGGGUUGCUCCUAGUACGAGAGGACCGGAGUGAACGCACCACUGGUGUACGGGUUGUGAUGCCAAUUGCAUUGCCCGGUAGCUAAGUGCGGAAGAGAUAACCGCUGAAAGCAUCUAAGCGGGAAACUUGCCUCGAGAUGAGUCUUCCCUGACCCUUUAAGGGUCCUGAAGGAACGUUUGAGACUAAGACGUUGAUAGGCUGGGUGUGUAAGCGCAGCGAUGCGUUGAGCUGACCAGUACUAAUGAACCGUGAGGCUUAACCUG
rnacentral:rRNA from 1 species